GUGGGGAAUUUUGGACAAUGGGCGCAAGCCUGAUCCAGCAAUGCCGCGUGCAGGAAGAAGGCCUUCGGGUUGUAAACUGCUUUUGUACGGAACGAAACGGUCCUGGCUAAUAUCCGGGGCUAAUGACGGUACCGUAAGAAUAAGCACCGGCUAACUACGUGCCAGCAGCCGCGGUAAUACGUAGGGUGCGAGCGUUAAUCGGAAUUACUGGGCGUAAAGCGUGCGCAGGCGGUGCUGUAAGACAGGCGUGAAAUCCCCGGGCUCAACCUGGGAAUUGCGCUUGUGACUGCAGUGCUGGAGUGCGGCAGAGAGGGAUGGAAUUCCGCGUGUAGCAGUGAAAUGCGUAGAUAUGCGGAGGAACACCGAUGGCGAAGGCAAUCCCCUGGGCCUGCACUGACGCUCAUGCACGAAAGCGUGGGGAGCAAACAGGAUUAGAUACCCUUGUAGUCC
rnacentral:rRNA from 1 species